rnacentral:rRNA from 1 species
CCUACGGGAGGCAGCAGUGGGGAAUAUUGGGCAAUGGGCGAAAGCCUGACCCAGCAACGCCGCGUGAAGGAAGAAGGCUUUCGGGUUAUAAACUUCUUGUGACAGGGAAGAGCAGAAGACGGGACCUGUCGAAUAAGCCACGGCUACCGACGUGCCAGCAGCCGCGGUAAGACGUAGGGGGCAAGCGGUGUCCGGAUUUACUGGGUGUAAAGGGCGUGUAGCCGGGCGGACAAGUCAGAUGUGAAAUCCGGGGGCGCAACCCCCGAACUGCAUUUGAAACUGUUGGUCUUGAGUAUCGGAGCGGCCGGCGGAAUUCCUCGUGUAGCGGUUACAUGCGUAGAUAUUA